rnacentral:rRNA from 1 species
GAAUUCACUAGUGAUUCAGGCCUAACACAUGCAAGUCGAACGGCAGCACGGAGCUUGCUCUGGUGGAAAAAAGCGAACGGGUGAGUAAUAUAUCGGAACGUACCCUAGAGUGGGGGAUAACGUAGCGAGAGUUACGCUAAUACCGCAUACGAUCUAGGGAUGAAAGUGGGGGAUCGCGAGACGUCAUGCUCGUGGAGCGGCCGAUAUCUGAUGAGCUAGUUGGUAGGGUAAAAGCCUACCAAGGCAUCGAUCAGUAGCUGGUCUGAGAGGACGACCAGCCACACUGGAAGAGAGACACGGUCCAGACUCCUACGGGAGGCAGCAGUGGGGAAUUUUGGACAAU